AACGCCAUAGUAUAGGAUGUAGUUCAGAAAAUGUCAAAGUAUAGUAUACUUUACUCAAGAAUAACAUAGUAUGGUCUGUAGUUCAUAGUAUAGCAUGUCAGCAAAAAAAACCCCUCAUUGAUUAUUAUGUGGUUCAAAAAGCGCAAAAUGAUAGGAUGUUUCCUAAAAUUGUCAUGUAUGAUUUGUGGUUCAAAAAAUGUCAUAGUGCAAUAUAUUGUCAAAAUAGUAUGAAAAACAUCAGAGUAUAAUAUGUCGUCUAAAAAAUGCCAUACAAUAAUAUUUCAUUGCACAAGUAAAAGUAUAGUAAUUUUUAAAACUGUUCAAAUUCUUAUAUGUUGCUAAAAAAACAACAAAAAAACGAAAACAAAACGAACGUCAUAGUAAUAUGUCAAUUAAAAAAGCCUAUAGUAUAGCAUGUGGCUCUAAAAACGUCAGAGUAUAGCCUGUAGUCCACAAAACAUUGUUAUGUCCUGGCUGUCUGAAGUAGGUGAGGAGCAACACAAAAACAGUCCAAACGCUGGUUUCCAGAGGGUUAGACGUUUAUUUAUUUGAAAGAGUAAGUUUACAACAACACAACAUGUGAGGGGGUUAAAAGCAAAUGAGUGUUAGUAAAAUAAAAAUAAAUAAACAGAACUAAAAGUGAACUUCAUGUUGACAUUGAUGGACAUUCCAACCAGGAACAAAGUAAAAGAUAAUCAAUACGAAAAAAACCUCUUCCUGUUCACCUCUUAAAACCCAAAAACACACCGCAGUAGCACCCUAAACUAAAACUACCAAUGGGUUCCCUGUUUUCCUUUCUGAACAAUUCAAAGGUCCCUCUCUAUCUCCCCACACAUCCACCAACCACUGGAACACAUCUCCAAAGUUCUGCCGGGCCAGCUCAGCUUCCCCUCAGAAGAAGUGGCGCCACCUGCCAGAUGAAGGAGCCUUUUGAGAGGCAGCUGGCAUCGUGAUUGGACUGUCCUUUGGUCUGUUCCAAUCCAGCUUCAGCUCCAGAGACGGCAGGCGGGACGAGUCAACGGAGGCCUGGUGGACGAAGGCAUGCAGCUGAGUACAAUCCAGAAAACAACAGAGGAGGAGUGCAGGGCCAGAACAACCAGAGUAGCAUCGUAUGUCUCUUAGAAAACAUCAUAGUAUAGCCUUUGGUAUGAAAAAACGCCAUCAUAUACAUCGUAUUUGUACAAAUAACAAGUCAAAGCAAAGAGACACACAUUGUAGAAUUGUAGUAAUUGUGGGCUGCCUGAUUUACUGAUUAUCAGUAUUUUAUUUUUUAUUGAUUUACGGUAAUAAAUCAAUUUAAAAAUGGCGCUACUUUGGCUCUGAACCUUUAUCUACCUGUGGUCGCUCUGUCUUCUGGAGUGAUUUGAUUGGUUAUACGUCAUGAAUAAAACUCCUUUAACUUAACAUCUGUAAACAAAACAAAAACGUAUCAACAAAGUUUUCUGUUAGAAUUUGUGUUCUUUUAAGUUUAACUCCAAGAUUUUAAAUACUUUCAUUUACUGCAAAUGAAUAUCUACCCCAAAUGUCUCACUAAUAAUCAUUAUCAGCCUUAAAAACCCACAAAACACCCCUCUAUACUGGACCACACUUAGUACAGUCCGGUUCCCCCUUCUAUAAAUCUGCUUGGAAUCUUCCACUUCCUGUUUGUCAAAGUGGCCUUCUACCUGGACAGGUUUUGUUGGAGCUCAUGGAACAAACAUUUUGGGUAACUGCACUUUAAUAUGGAUGGAUGACACUGAAUUAGAGUCUGUUUUAGUGAGACUGAGUUAAGAUGUGUAGCUCUGUCAUUAAAUAGGAAAUUAUUUCCCAGAAUUCACAGAGAAAAGUCUGAAAUGUUUGCUAGAUUAACGUCCCACAUGUUCUUUGGCUCAGCUAAAGCUAACUCUCUCCAACUUCUGGAUCUCUUGAGUUGCUUGUUGUUAAAAUAUCUUGCUAGAGGUGCUGAAGCUCAGAAAGUCUGAGAUGUUUGUUCAGAAUAAGCUCAUUCUCAAGUCUUAUCUGAACUGUCCUCUUUUGUUUGAACUUUCCCUGAACUUAGGAGUUAAUGACAGAGCAGCACAUCCAGACUCAGUCUCAUUUAUGUAGAGAUUAAACUUCAGUGUCAUUCAUUGAUGUUAAAGUGCAGUUUUUCAAAUGUUUGUUGCACAUGCUCCCGACUAAACCAGUCCAGGUGGAAGACGAUGUGAAGAGAAAGCUCCAGAGGAUGAAUAUCACACAUUUACAUUGGAAAUUAAUGUCCUUUAAUUAGACAUUGUCAUGCAAAAGUUGGAUUUCCCCUUAAUGAUGUUCAAAUCUUUGUUGAGUGUUUUGUUGAUGUUGGUUUCUAAAUGUUUUUUGACACUCGGCCCCAAAGAUUAAAACCUUUUACGGCUCACAAGCUGCAACAAGUCACACAUUAUCAACUAUCUUUCUGACUAAACUAAGAUAAAAAGUGAAAAACUGCCUGAUUCCUGCAUCAUGAAUGUAAAUCUUUUUGUUUUUUAUGACAGUAACCUGAAUAUAUUUGGGUUUGACAUUUUAUAAACCAUAACAAGAAAUGAAUUAGUGGAGAAAACAAUCAACUGAUUAAUGGCCAAAGAAAAUGUGUUUUCCAACAUAUAUGGCUGAAUUACUCCAACAUUACAAGAUACAUACAGUUUUAAUUCAAUUUAUUUAUAUAACACCAAUUAGAGGUCAAAUUGUCUCAAGACACUUUAUUUUUAUAGUAAGAAAUUUAAACCUCUUGACUAAUCCAAUUUAUAUAUUUAUAUUCUACCCAACAUCCUGGACUAAUGUCAGAAUGUUUUUUCUUCUUUACAAGCUGCUCUGUGUCUUUGUUCAGGUUGAGAGGACUUUGGGUAUUGAGGCUGCAAGAUCCACCAUCAUCAAUGAGGUUCAGUACACCAUGGUCAACCACGGAAUGAGCAUCGACCGGCGUCACGUCAUGCUUCUUGCUGAUCUUAUGUCCUAUAAGGACCAGACCUGCUGGGAUCUGUACAGAUGUCUUGAUGAGGGUGGGAGUGGUUUCAGUAAAGGAGAGCUGGAUCAGUCUACAAACACAUUGUUGUAACCAGUGUGGGAAAUCUUUCAGGCAGUCAAGUUAUUUGAAACGUCAUAUGCUCAUCCACACGGAAGAAAUUAGUUUUUUACUGUGAUAUUUCCUCAUGUUUGACAAAGUGGUUAUUAUCUUAACUGUGAAAUAAAAGCCCUCCUUAAACGUUA